rnacentral:rRNA from 1 species
GUUAAAAAGCUCGUAGUUGGAUUUCUGUUGAGGUCGGGCGGUGUACCCUCUGUAUUAUUUGCUUCGGUCUCGCUCCUCUUGGGGAACGUACGGACCUUCAUUGGACUGUGCGAGAUUCAAGACUUUUACUUUGAGGAAAUUAGAGUGUUCACGGCAGGCAAGUGCUUUGAAUACAUUAGCAUGGAAUAAUAAUAUAGGACCUUCGUUCUAUUUUGUUGGUUUCUAGAACUUAGGUAAUGAUUAAUAGGGACAAUUGGGGGCAUUCGUAUUAACGCGUCAGAGGUGGAAUUCUUGGAUUGCGUUACGACGAACUACUGCGAAAGCAUUUGCCAAAGAUGU